CCUACGGGAGGCAGCAGUGAGGAAUAUUGGUCAAUGGGCGCGAGCCUGAACCAGCCAAGUCGCGUGAGGGAAGACGGCCCUACGGGUUGUAAACCUCUUUUGCCGGGGAGCAACGGGCGCCACGUGUGGUGCCACUGAGAGUACCCGGAGAAAAAGCAUAGGCUAACUCCGUGCCAGCAGCCGCGGUAAUACGGCGGAUGCGAGCGUUAUCCGGAUUUAUUGGGUUAAAAGGGUGCGUCGGCGGAGCGUUAAGUCAGUGGUCAAAUUGAGGGGCUCAACCCCUUCCCGCCAUUGAAACUGGCGCUCUUGAGUGGAAGAGAAGGAUGCGGAAUGCUUGGGUUAGCGGUGAAAUGCAUAGAUAUCACGCAGAACCCCGAUUGCGAAGGCAGCAUGCCGGCUUCCUACUGACGCUGAAGCACGAAAGCGUGGGGAUCGAACAGGAUUAGAUACCCGAGUAGUC
rnacentral:rRNA from 1 species